rnacentral:rRNA from 1 species
AUUGAACGCUGGCGGCAUGCCUUACACAUGCAAGUCGAACGGUAACAGGUCUUCGGAUGCUGACGAGUGGCGAACGGGUGAGUAAUACAUCGGAACGUGCCUAGUAGUGGGGGAUAACUACUCGAAAGAGUGGCUAAUACCGCAUGAGAUCUACGGAUGAAAGCAGGGGAUCGCAAGACCUUGUGCUACUAGAGCGGCCGAUGGCAGAUUAGGUAGUUGGUGGGAUAAAAGCUUACCAAGCCGACGAUCUGUAGCUGGUCUGAGAGGACGAUCAGCCACACUGGGAAUGCGACACGGCCCAGACUCCUACGGGAGGCAGCAGUGGGGAAUUUUGGACAAUGGGCGCAAGCCUGAUCCAGCAAUGCCGCGUGCAGGAAGAAGGCCUUCGGGUUGUAAACUGCUUUUGUACGGAGCGAAAAGGCUCUCUCUAAUACAGGGGGCUCAUGACGGUACCGUAAGAAUAAGCACCGGCUAACUACGUGCCAGCCGCCGCCGUAA